UGCCGAACGAAAAGAAAUAAUCAAGAGAGGAAAAAACCAGAAGUCUCCAUGGAAAUUUUCUGUGGAUGGCGAGAUCCGGUGAAAAAACCUCUGGUGAUUAUGUGUACCGAAUACCGAAAAACCCGGGGGAAGCCCUCGCGCCUAUGAAUAACCGAAAUACCUAUGUUAAAUAUACAAUACCUACUACCAAUACCUACCGAAAAAUGUAAAGUCUUUCCAAAAAUUCAUCGUCGAAAAAUCCUUCACGUGUGGUUCAAAAAGACGAUUGUAGACUAAAAAUUUAGUCCAAAUAUAUUACGCACAAUAAAUAGUCCUUUUUGGGAACAAAUUGUUCCUCGUAAGAAAUAUUUAUCUUUAUCUUGAAACCUGAAAAUAUUUAAAAUAUAUUCAGGACGAAGUACGUAGCAAAUGAAUCCAAUUGUCCAACAUAUUUUACGGCAGUCUGCCAUUGUAAAAGCUGUUAGGACACUUGGAUACAUUUAGUAUAAAUACGAUGUGUGCAUUUCUACAUUUUGGUUUUCGCGCAUUUCGCUUGCUUUACCGCGCGCAGAAAAUAGCGAGUACUAGUGCAUACGCGCGCACUUAAUUUUAAUGAGCAUGCACUGAAAUUCAUGCCCCUAAUUUUACUAAGUUAGCACGCACUGAAAUUCAUGCCCCUAAUUUCACUAAGCAUGCAGUUGAGCGCAGUUAAUUUUAAAUAGCAUGAAACUUUGCGCACUUAAUUCUAAUCAACAUGCACCUUAAUUUCUUUUUUCAAAGCCAGACUUGUUUCAAG